UACGUAGGGUGCGAGCGUUGUCCGAAGUUACUGGGCGUAAAGCGCACGUAGGCGGUUAUCUAAGUCUGGGGUGAAAGGUUCAGUGCUUAACGCGAACAGUGCCUUGGAGACUGGAUGACUUGAGUUUGGGAGAGGGUAGUGGAAUGGCUGGUGUAGCGGUGAAAUGCGUAGAUAUCAGUCGGAACACCAAUGGCGAAGGCAGCUACCUGGCCUAAAACUGACGCUGAGGUGCGAAAGCGUGGGGAGCGAACGGG
rnacentral:rRNA from 1 species